rnacentral:rRNA from 1 species
CUGACCGUAAACGAUGCCAACUAGCGAUCCGUCGGCGGCUCUACGGCCCUGAUGGGGAGCUUCCCGGAAACGAAAGUCUUCCGGUUCCGGGGGAAGUAUGGUUGCAAAGCUGAAACUUAAAGGAAUUGACGGAAGGGCACCACCAGGAGUGGAGCCUGCGGCUUAAUUUGACUCAACACGGGAAAACUCACCCGGCCCGGACACCGUGAGGAUUGACAGAUUGAUAGCUUUUUCAUGAUUCGGUGGUUGGUGGUGCAUGGCCGUUCUUAGUUCGUGGAUCGAUUUGUCUGGUUUAUUCCGAUAACGAGCGAGACUCCAGCCUACUAACUAGUACGGGCAUUGCCUCUGUGCCCGGCACUUCUUAGAGGGAUUGGCUGCGUCUAGCGGCACGAAACGGAGCAAUAACAGGUCUGUGAUGCCCUUAGAUGUCCGGGGCUGCACGCGCGCUACACUGGCAAAGGCAGCGUGCUUGUCCGUCUCCGAAAGGAGCCGGUAAACCCUUGAAAAUUUGCCGUGAUUGGGAUCGGAAAUUGCAAUUAUUUUCCGUGAACGAGGAAUUCCUAGUAAGUGCGAGUCAUCAGCUCGCGUUG